AUGCAAGUCGAACGGAAUUGAGGUGCUUGCACUUCAAUUUAGUGGCGCACGGGUGAGUAACGCGUAGAUAAUCUGCCUGACGAUCUGGGAUAACACUUCGAAAGAGGUGCUAAUACCGGAUAAGCCCACGGAGUCUUUGGAUUCUGCGGGAAAAGGGGGGGACCUUCGGGCCUUCUGUCGUCAGAUGAGUCUGCGUACCAUUAGCUAGUUGGUGGGGUAACAGCCUACCAAGGCGACGAUCAGUAGCCGGUCUGAGAGGAUGAUCCGCCACACUGGGACUGAGACACGGCCCAGACUCCUACGGGAGGCAGCAGUGGGGAAUAUUGGACAAUGGGGGGAACCCUGAUCCAGCCAUGCCGCGUGUGUGAAGAAGGCCUUAUGGUUGUAAAGCACUUUAAGCGAGGAGGAGGCUCCUAUAGAUAAUACCUAUAGUGAGUGGACGUUACUCGCAGAAUAAGCACCGGCUAACUCUGUGCCAGCAGCCGCGGUAAUACAGAGGGUGCAAGCGUUAAUCGGAUUUACUGGGCGUAAAGCGUACGUAGGCGGCUAAUUAAGUCGGAUGUGAAAUCCCCGAGCUCAACUUGGGAAUUGCAUUCGAUACUGGUUAGCUAGAGUAUGGGAGAGGAUGGUAGAAUUCCAGGUGUAGCGGUGAAAUGCGUAGAGAUCUGGAGGAAUACCGAUGGCGAAGGCAGCCAUCUGGCCUAAUACUGACGCUGAGGUACGAAAGCAUGG
rnacentral:rRNA from 1 species